GAGUUGCGAACGGGUGAGUAACGCGUAGGUAACCUGCCUACUAGCGGGGGAUAACUAUUGGAAACGAUAGCUAAUACCGCAUAACAGUGUUUAACACAUGUUAGAUGCUUGAAAGAUGCAAUUGCAUCACUAGUAGAUGGACCUGCGUUGUAUUAGCUAGUUGGUGGGGUAACGGCCCGCCAAGGCGACGAUACAUAGCCGACCUGAGAGGGUGAUCGGCCACACUGGGACUGAGACACGGCCCAAACUCCUACGGGAGGCAGCAGUAGGGAAUCUUCCACAAUGGACGCAAGUCUGAUGGAGCAACGCCGCGUGAGUGAAGAAGGGUUUCGGCUCGUAAAGCUCUGUUGGUAGUGAAGAAAGAUAGAGGUAGUAACUGGCCUUUAUUUGACGGUAAUUACCUAGAAAGUCACGGCUAACUACGUGCCAGCAGCCGCGGUAAUACGUAGGUGGCAAGCGUUGUCCGGAUUUAUUGGGCGUAAAGCGAGUGCAGGCGGUUCAAUAAGUCUGAUGUGAAAGCCUUCGGCUCAACCGGAGAAUUGCAUCAGAAACUGUUGAACUUGAGUGCAGAAGAGGAGUGUGGAACUCCAUGUGUAGCGGUGGAAUGCGUAGAUAUAUGGAAGAACACCAGUGGCGAAGGCGGCUCUCUGGUCUGCAACUGACGCUGAGGCUCGAAAGCAUGGGUAGCGAACAGGAUUAGAUACCCUGGUAGUCCAUGCCGUAAACGAUGAGUGCUAGGUGUUGGAGGGUUUCCGCCCUUCAGUGCCGAAGCUAACGCAUUAAGCACUCCGCCUGGGGAGUACGACCGCAAGGUUGAAACUCAAAGGAAUUGACGGGGGCCCGCACAAGCGGUGGAGCAUGUGGUUUAAUUCGAAGCUACGCGAAGAACCUUACCAGGUCUUGACAUCUUGCGCCAACCUCAGAGAUGAGGCGUUCCCUUCGGGGACGCAAAGACAGGUGGUGCAUGGUCGUCGUCAGCUCGUGUCGUGAGAUGUUGGGUUAAGUCCCGCAACGAGCGCAACCCUUGUUACUAGUUGCCAGCAUUCAGUUGGGCACUCUAGUGAGACUGCCGGUGACAAACCGGAGGAAGGUGGGGAUGACGUCAAAUCAUCAUGCCCCUUAUGACCUGGGCUACACACGUGCUACAAUGGAUGGUACAACGAGUCGCCAACCCGCGAGGGUGCGCUAAUCUCUUAAAACCAUUCUCAGUUCGGAUUGCAGGCUGCAACUCGCCUGCAUGAAGUCGGAAUCGCUAGUAAUCGCGGAUCAGCACGCCGCGGUGAAUACGUUCCCGGGCCUUGUACACACCGCCCGUCA
rnacentral:rRNA from 1 species